rnacentral:rRNA from 1 species
GGCGAACGGGUGAGUAACACGUGAGGAACCUGCCCCUAACUCUGGAGAUAGCUUCGGGAAACCAGGAAUUAGAGUAACCGGAUACGACCACUGUCGGCAUCGACAAUGGUGGAAAGAUUUAUCGGUUAGGGAUGGUCUCGCGGCUAUCAGCUUGUUGGUGAGGUAACGGUCACCAAGGCGACGACGGGUAGCCGGCCUGAGAGGGCGACCGGCCACACUGGGACUGAGACACGGCCCAGACUCCUACGGGAGGCAGCAGUGGGGAAUAUUGCGCAAUGGGCGAAAGCCUGACGCAGCAAACGCCGCGUGGGGGAUGAAUGCCUUCGGGUUGUAAAACCCCUUUUCAGCAGGGACGAAGCGAAAAGUGACGGUACCUGCAGAAGAAGCGCCGGCUAACUACGUGCCAAGCCGCCGCGG